CAUGGCUCAGGAUGAACGCUAGCGGCAGGCUUAACACAUGCAAGUCGAGGGGUAACAUAGUUGCUUGCAACUGAUGACGACCGGCGCACGGGUGCGUAACGCGUAUAGUACCUACCUUAUAGUAAGGGAUAGCCCAGAGAAAUUUGGAUUAAUACCUUAUAGUAUCCUAAGUGAGCCUUCACUAAGGAUUAAAGAUUUAUCGCUAUAAGAUGGCUAUGCGUUCUAUUAGCUAGUUGGUAUGGUAACGGCAUACCAAGGCUACGAUAGAUAGGGGUCCUGAGAGGGAGAUCCCCCACACUGGUACUGAGACACGGACCAGACUCCUACGGGAGGCAGCAGUGAGGAAUAUUGGACAAUGGAGGCAACUCUGAUCCAGCCAUGCCGCGUGUAGGAAGACUGCCCUAUGGGUUGUAAACUACUUUUAUAGAGGAAGAAACCAUUUCACGUGUGAAAUGCUGACGGUACUCUACGAAUAAGGAUCGGCUAACUCCGUGCCAGCAGCCGCGGUAAUACGGAGGAUCCAAGCGUUAUCCGGAAUCAUUGGGUUUAAAGGGUCCGUAGGCGGUUUAGUAAGUCAGUGGUGAAAGUUUUCGGCUCAACCGGAAAAUUGCCAUUGAUACUGCAAGACUUGAAUUAUUGUGAAGUGGUUAGAAUGUGUAGUGUAGCGGUGAAAUGCAUAGAUAUUACACAGAAUACCGAUUGCGAAGGCAGAUCACUAACAAUUAAUUGACGCUAAGGGACGAAAGCGUGGGUAGCGAACAGGAUUAGAUACCCUGGUAGUCCACGCCGUAAACGAUGGUUACUAGCUGUUUGGACUUCGGUCUGAGUGGCUAAGCGAAAGUGAUAA
rnacentral:rRNA from 1 species